rnacentral:ncRNA from 1 species
UUUCCCUCAGGAUAGCAGGCAGCAAUGGAAGUACCAGUAGCAUUCAGUAGAGCGGCUGAUUAGAGGUCUUGGGGCCGAAAUGACCUCAACCUAUUCUCAAACUCCUAAUGGGUGCGAAGUUCAACUUGUAACACUUUUAAAGCUGAACAUACUGUCACAGUCA